GUUUGAUCCUGGCUCAGGACGAACGCUGGCGGCGUGCUUAACACAUGCAAGUCGAGCGGAAAGGCCACUUCGGUGGUACUCGAGCGGCGAACGGGUGAGUAACACGUGAGUAAUCUGCCCCUGGCUUUGGGAUAGCCACCGGAAACGGUGAUUAAUACCGGAUAUGACCAUGUCACGCAUGUGGUGUGGUGGAAAGUUUUUCGGCCAGGGAUGUGCUCGCGGCCUAUCAGCUUGAUGGUGAGGUAAUGGCUCACCAUGGCUUCGACGGGUAGCCGGCCUGAGAGGGUGACCGGUCACACUGGGACUGAGACACGGCCCAGACUCCUACGGGAGGCAGCAGUGGGGAAUAUUGGACAAUGGGCGGAAGCCUGAUCCAGCAACGCCGCGUGAGGGAUGACGGCCUUCGGGUUGUAAACCUCUUUCAGCAGGGACGAAGCGCAAGUGACGGUACCUGCAGAAGAAGCACCGGCCAACUACGUGCCAGCAGCCGCGGUAAUACGUAGGGUGCGAGCGUUGUCCGGAAUUAUUGGGCGUAAAGGGCUCGUAGGCGGUUUGUCGCGUCGGGAGUGAAAACGCCGUGCAUAACACGGCGCUUGCUUUCGAUACGGGCAGACUAGAGGUAUUCAGGGGAGAACGGAAUUCCUGGUGUAGCGGUGAAAUGCGCAGAUAUCAGGAGGAACACCGGUGGCGAAGGCGGUUCUCUGGGAAUGACCUGACGCUGAGGAGCGAAAGUGUGGGGAGCGAACAGGAUUAGAUACCCUGGUAGUCCACACCGUAAACGUUGGGCGCUAGGUGUGGGGUCCAUUCCACGGAUUCCGUGCCGCAGCUAACGCAUUAAGCGCCCCGCCUGGGGAGUACGGCCGCAAGGCUAAAACUCAAAGGAAUUGACG
rnacentral:rRNA from 1 species